GCACGCCAUGCUUAAUCUCGUCCGUCCAGCUUUCGUUUUGUCUUAUAUGACUUAAGUUGAGCUGACCGGUUGAUGAAUGUUCAAGUGACAUGUUUAUUUUUAAAUGAACAUUUUAUUAUUUGUGUCACAUGCUGAGUAAUCCUGGACCGGGCCUUGGCUUCGCCUGCUAUUCACACACGACCUCAAGGCCCAUCAACCAUUAUUUCCCAUUUACUUUCAUUCUUUCAUUUAUUCAUUUUUUAUUUUUCUGUUUUGUUUUUUAUUAAU
rnacentral:lncRNA from 1 species